AAGAAUUUAAAGGUCGAACAGACCUAUACAUUAAGCGGCUACACCUAAUUAUUAUCUUAAUCCAACAUCGAGGUCGCAAGCCCUCCUGUAAAUAUGAACUCUGGAGGAGGAUUACGCUGUUAUCCCUAAGGUAACUUAUUCUAACAAUCACUAAAAAUGGAUCUAAUACUCAUAUAUAAAUGGUAAAUAAAUGAAAAAGUUAGUUAUAUAUUUUUGUCACCCCAACAAAAUAUAAUUUAAAUAUAAUUACAUUAAUAUAUAAAUAAAUAAAUAAAAUUAUAUAAAGAUCUAUAGGGUCUUCUCGUCUUCCAAUAAAAUUUUAGCUUUUUAACUAAAAAAUUAAAUUCUAAAACAAAUAAAAUGAGACAGCUAGUUCCUCGUUAAACCAUUCAUUCCAGCCCUCUAUUAAAAGACUAAUGAUUAUGCUACCUUUGCACGGUCAAUAUACCGCGGCCGUUAAAUUCAUCACUGGGCAGGUCAGACCUUAAAUUAAAUUCAAAAGGCC
rnacentral:rRNA from 1 species